rnacentral:rRNA from 1 species
GAUGAACGCUGGCGGCGUGCCUAAUACAUGCAAGUCGAGCGAACAGACGAGGAGCUUGCUCCUCUGACGUUAGCGGCGGACGGGUGAGUAACACGUGGAUAACCUACCUAUAAGACUGGGAUAACUUCGGGAAACCGGAGCUAAUACCGGAUAAUAUAUUGAACCGCAUGGUUCAAUAGUGAAAGACGGUUUUGCUGUCACUUAUAGAUGGAUCCGCGCCGCAUUAGCUAGUUGGUAAGGUAACGGCUUACCAAGGCAACGAUGCGUAGCCGACCUGAGAGGGUGAUCGGCCACACUGGAACUGAGACACGGUCCAGACUCCUACGGGAGGCAGCAGUAGGGAAUCUUCCGCAAUGGGCGAAAGCCUGACGGAGCAACGCCGCGUGAGUGAUGAAGGUCUUCGGAUCGUAAAACUCUGUUAUUAGGGAAGAACAAAUGUGUAAGUAACUAUGCUCGUCUUGACGGUACCUAAUCAGAAAGCCACGGGUAGCUACGUG